rnacentral:tRNA from 1 species
GGAGGGAUGGCUCAGGGGUUAAGAGCACUGGUUGUUUUUCCAGAGGACCUGAGUUCAGUUCCCAGUUCCCACA